ACACUCCUACGGGAGGCAGCAGUGAGGAAUAUUGGACAAUGGGUGGAAGCCUGAUCCAGCCAUCCCGCGUGCAGGAAGACGGCCCUAUGGGUUGUAAACUGCUUUUAUCUGGGGAUAAACCUACUUACGUGUAAGUAGCUGAAGGUACCAGAAGAAUAAGCACCGGCUAACUCCGUGCCAGCAGCCGCGGUAAUACGGAGGGUGCAAGCGUUAUCCGGAUUUAUUGGGUUUAAAGGGUCCGUAGGCGGACUGAUAAGUCAGUGGUGAAAUCCGACAGCUUAACUGUCGAACUGCCAUUGAUACUGUUAGUCUUGAGUAAGGUUGAAGUGGCUGGAAUAAGUAGUGUAGCGGUGAAAUGCAUAGAUAUUACUUAGAACACCAAUUGCGAAGGCAGGUCACUAAGUCUUAACUGACGCUGAUGGACGAAAGCGUGGGGAGCGAACAGGAUUAGAAACCCGAGUAGUCCCAUGAU
rnacentral:rRNA from 1 species